AUUCAUUUUCCUUUGUCCAUUGUCCUUUCUCUGUCCUCUCACAAAGCAGAAGCUCCAUGGGGGCUCCUCUUAUCCCCCACCCCCACAUCUUUUCUCCUUCCCUCCCUGUGUCUAGUCCAGCGUUUGACAGAAGCUUUGGAAAUAUGUUUCAUAAAUAAAGGAAUGAACAGCUCCUCCAUUUUUAAAAAAACCCAGUUUGAAUGCCGCUGCCACAGUGAAUCCAAAUAAUACCUCAUGUGUAUUGUGCUUCCUUUCUUCUAGCCGUUAGUUGCCUCAUCUAAUGAGCCCCUCCGAUUACCUCCCGUGACUCAUAGAGGAGUUACAACCCCGGCCACACACUCCAAAGCCACUCGUCAGCUUCUUGCUUGCUUUUGUUGUUGUUGGGGGUUUUUGUUGUUGUUCUUUUCCAACGCUAUGGAAUGAACCAGGAGCCUUGCACAUGCUAGGCUCUACCAGCUAGAGGAACACCACUGAGCUACACCCCAGCCCUUGCUUUGCUAUUUAUCACACACACUGCUCUUUUUGCUGCAGUGACAAGCUUAGGAUUCCUCACAGCCAGCGCCAAAGCACACAGAGAGCACGCAAAGGAUGCUGAGAAAGUGAGGAUGCCCUGGGGAGCAGAACCCCUGUGGAUAGGGCUCCAUCAAGGUGCUGUGGUCACGGUUUGCACAAACGCCAGGCUCUCAAGAGUUCUUAAGUGUACAACAUCCUGUACUGUAUCUUAAGGAAGGAACCGUAUUCUGGUCUUGUAGGAAUGGUUUCCGUUAGAGACAAGGCCUCGUAUUCACUCUGGUCUCGAGUUUGAAUCAUAACAUCUGCAAGUGAGACCACAGCAUCCCUACGGAGUGUCAGCAGAUCGUUUACCAGCUGUGAAGAGACACCUAAAAUACGCCACGGCUUAAUUUUUUUGUUUGUUGGUUUAAUAAGUCAGGACUACACACCCUGCUCUAAUAAAAAUUAAAUAAAUAAAGUUUGAUCCCGCCCCAAUUUCUUGGAACUGUCUGAGGGAAUCGGGGAGACAAAUGUGACGUGGAAGGCAGGAUUUGAGCUGUAGGAAUUCCGGGGCUGGCUCCGGAAUCUCGGGAUUAGCCCUGCAGCGGGCGCCG
rnacentral:lncRNA from 1 species